rnacentral:rRNA from 1 species
CCCCAAAUGGGGACACGUGCACGCUCUGUUAACACAUCCACUCACACCCUGUGCACCCUCUGUAGUUCUAUGGUUGGGGGGGGACCUGUCCUCUCCUGCUGUGGUUCUGCAUCUUUACAUACACACUGUAACAAAGUCUCAUGGAAUGCAUGCCGCGUUUAACGCAAUAAAAUACAACUUUCAGCAACGGAUCUCUUGGCUCUCGCAUCGAUGAAGAACGCAGCGAAAUGCGAUAAGUAAUGUGAAUUGCAGAAUUCAGUGAAUCAUCGAAUCUUUGAACGCACCUUGCGCCCUUUGGCAUUCCGAAGGGCAUGCCUGUUUGAGUAUCAUGAACACCUCAACUCUUCAUGGUUUUCCAUGAUGAGCUUGGACUUUGGGGGUCUUGCUGGCCUGCGGUCAACUCCUCUCAAAUGAAUCAGCUUACCAGUGUUUGGUGGGCAUCACAGGUGUGAUAACUAUCUGCGCUUGUGGUUUUCCACCAAGUAACCUUCAGCAGUGGAGGUUCACUGGAGCUCACAGACGUCUCUCCUCAGUGAGGACAGCCCUUUGAAUGUUUGAUCUCAAAUCAGGUAGGACUACCCGCUGAACUUAAGCAUAUCAAUAAGCGGAGGA